GAUGAACGCUGGCGGCGUGCUUAACACAUGCAAGUCGAACGAUGAAGCCCAGCUUGCUGGGUGGAUUAGUGGCGAACGGGUGAGUAACACGUGAGUAACCUGCCCUUAACUCUGGGAUAAGCCUGGGAAACUAGGUCUAAUACCGGAUAGGAGCGCCUACCGCAUGGUGGGUGUUGGAAAGAUUUAUCGGUUUUGGAUGGACUCGCGGCCUAUCAGCUUGUUGGUGAGGUAAUGGCUCACCAAGGCGACGACGGGUAGCCGGCCUGAGAGGGUGACCGGCCACACUGGGACUAAGACUCGGCCCAGACGCCUACGGGAGGCAGCAGUGGGGAAUAUUGGACAAUGGGCGGAAGCCUGAUCCAGCAACGCCGCGUGAGGGAUGACGGCCUUCGGGUUGUAAACCUCUUUCAGUGCCGACGAAGCCUCUUUUGGGGUGACGGUAGGUGCAGAAGAAGGACCGGCCAACUACGUACCAGCCGCCGCAGUAAAAC
rnacentral:rRNA from 1 species